AGAGUUUGAUCUUGGCUCAGGACGAACGCUGGCGGCGCGCCUAACACAUGCAAGUCGGACGAGCGAGAGAGAGCUUGCUUUCUCGAGCGAGUGGCGAACGGGUGAGUAACGCGUGAGGAACCUGCCUCAAAGAGGGGGACAACAGUUGGAAACGACUGCUAAUACCGCAUAAGCCCACGGCUCGGCAUCGAGCAGAGGGAAAAGGAGCAAUCCGCUUUGAGAUGGCCUCGCGUCCGAUUAGCUAGUUGGUGAGGUAACGGCCACCAAGGCAACGAUCGGUAGCCGGACUGAGAGGUUGAACGGCCACAUUGGGACUGAGACACGGCCCAGACUCCUACGGGAGGCA
rnacentral:rRNA from 1 species